CUUUGUGACGAUGAAUAGAGAUAUAGAGGAGGUUAACCGCAUGACAGGUGGUGCAUGGUUGUCGUCAGCUCGUGUCGUGAGAUGUUGGGUUAAGUCCCGCAACGAGCGCAACCCCUAUCAUUAGUUGCUAAUAUUAAGUUAAGGACUCUAAUGUGACUGCCUAUGUAAGUAGGAGGAAGGUGGGGAUGACGUCAAAUCAUCAUGCCCCUUAUGCUUUGGGCUACACACGUGCUACAAUGGUUAUUACAAAGGGAAGCGAGCUUGUGAGAGUAAGCGGAUCCCAUAAAGAUAAUCUAAGUUCGGAUUGAAGUCUGCAACUCGACUUCAUGAAGUCGGAAUCACUAGUAAUCGUAGGUCAGAAUACUACGGUGAAUACGUUCCCGGGUCUUGUACACACCGA
rnacentral:rRNA from 1 species